AGUUGUUGACAACUCACCAACCUCCGCGAUAGUGAGGUUGUUGCCGAAACCAUGUGUUGAGAAUAUAUGUUCAGGAGGGCCACACUGAUGAAACAAAUUAAAAGUAAAAAGGAUCAAAUAUGAAAGACAACAAUGAAAAUUUCACAGAUGCGUGUUGUUCACAGAAAUUUUCAAAUGGAGUCUUUGGAGUCCUGAAUGGUUAAGGUAUGCAGCAUUAUGGAAGAUAAGAUAAGAUAACAAGAGAGCUGCAGUCACUUGAGGAGGGGUGGCAGUUACUGAUAUUUAUCGCAAAAUGUGUGGUAGUAAUUCAUUUCAACGUACAUGAUAUCCGCCAGUGGUGGGAGGAUGAUAGUUGAACAUUUGAUACCUAGUUGAUUUUAUAAAUCACCAAUUUGCUUUAUGUCUUUCAUAGGUUAGGAGAGUUACCAGUGCAGCUCAAAAUGAUAAUCGUUAUUUAUUGUUCAUUGAAUGUAAAAUCAUAUAGGAACAAGAUGUUCAUUAGAAUAUAAAGUAAUCAUCUCAUUAAACAUGUUACAAUUGUAAAUUUGUUGAUAUUUUAUCUUAAGUGUAUGAUAAUGCAUAUAUAUUUUGUUAAUUAAACAAAUUUUUUAGCAACACAA